rnacentral:sRNA from 1 species
UUUUUGCGUUAGGGAUAGUAGCGGCAUCCUUUUUUAUUUGUCUUUUCUAUGGAGUCGAAAAGUGUUUACAAAUAAAAAAGAUAUAGCGAAUAGCCCGACCCGAA